ensembl:lncRNA novel transcript, antisense to CBFA2T3
AUUCGUCGCUGAGGCGGAGAAGCAGAGACCCUCAGGGCCUCCCAGCUCCGAGCCUCUGGCCCACCAGACGCUCUGAGCUCCAGGCUUCCUGGCAGACCAGCCCGUGUUUUCCUACAAAGUGAAAAAGGCUCCAGGACUGAAGCCGCAGAGGCCACUCCCACAGGUCACCAGAAACUAAGACGUGAGUGACGCCCGGCAGUGGCCGACUCUUCCGCCGUGGCUGUGCCCAUGGGAGACGUGAGUGACGCCCGGCAGUGGCCGACUCUUCUGCGGUGGCUGCGCCCACGGGAGACGUGAGUGACCCCGGCAGUGGCCGACUUCCACGGUGGCUGCGCCCACGGGAGACGUGAGUGAUGCCCGGCAGUGGCCAACUCUUCUGCGGUGGCUGUGCCCACGGGAGACGUGAGUGACGCCCGGCAGUGGCUUACUCUUUCGUGGUAGCUGCGCCCACGACUUCUGGAGACAUCAGAGGCUUCCAGGCCCCACUGUUUUCUGCAUUUGGCCACUGCCCACGCUUCUGGGGCUGAGGUCU